GUCCUUUUGGAUUUUUAUUUAAGGUCUAGUCUGCCCACUGAAUUUAUAUUUUAAAUGGCCGCAGUAUUUUGACUGUGCAAAGGUAGCAUAAUCAUUAGUUUUUUAAUUAAAAGCUUGUAUGAAAGGCUGGACGAGGUAAAAUCUGUCUCUAUUUAAAUUAUAGUAGAAUUUAUCUUUUAAGUUAAAAGACUUAAAUAUUAUUAAAAGACGAGAAGACCCUAUAGAUCUUUAUAAUUUAUUAAGUAAGAUUAAUUUAGAAAUAUUUAUGUUUUAUUUAAUUAAUUAUUUUAUUGGGGUAAUAGAAAGAUUAAAUAAAUUCUUUUUUGUGAUAAACAUUGAUUUAUGAGUGUUAAUGAUCCAAUUUUAUUGAUUAUAAGAUUAAGUUACCUUAGGGAUAACAGCGUAAUUUUUUUAGAGAGUUCAUAUCGAUAAAAAAGUUUGCGACCUCGAUGUUGGAUUAAAGAUUAUUUUAGGUGCAGAAGCUUAAUAAUUUUGGUCUGUUCGACCAUUGAAUCUUUAC
rnacentral:rRNA from 1 species